rnacentral:rRNA from 1 species
GAUGAACGCUGGCGGCGUGCCUAAUACAUGCAAGUCGAGCGAGCAGACGAGGAGCUUGCUCCUCUGACGUUAGCGGCGGACGGGUGAGUAACACGUGGAUAACCUACCUAUAAGACUGGGAUAACUUCGGGAAACCGGAGCUAAUACCGGAUAAUAUAUUGAACCGCGUGGUUCAAUAGUGAAAGACGGUUUUGCUGUCACUUAUAGAUGGAUCCGCGCCGCAUUAGCUAGUUGGUAAGGUAACGGCUUACCAAGGCAACGAUGCGUAGCCGACCUGAGAGGGUGAUCGGCCACACUGGAACUGAGACACGGUCCAGACUCCUACGGGAGGCAGCAGUAGGGAAUCUUCCGCAAAGGGCGAAAGCCUGACGGAGCAACGCCGCGUGAGUGAUGAAGGUCUUCGGAUCGUAAAACUCUGUUAUUAGGGAAGAACAAAUGUGUAAGUAACUAUGCACGUCUUGACGGUACCUAAUCAGAAAGCCACGGCUAACUACGUG